AAAUUGAAGAGUUUGAUCAUGGCUCAGAUUGAACGCUGGCGGCAGGCCUAACACAUGCAAGUCGAGCGGUAACACGGGGAGCUUGCUCCUGGGUGACGAGCGGCGGACGGGUGAGUAAUGUCUGGGAAACUGCCUGAUGGAGGGGGAUAACUACUGGAAACGGUAGCUAAUACCGCAUAACGUCGCAAGACCAAAGAGGGGGACCUUAGGGCCUCUUGCCAUCAGAUGUGCCCAGAUGGGAUUAGCUAGUAGGUGGGGUAACGGCUCACCUAGGCGACGAUCCCUAGCUGGUCUGAGAGGAUGACCAGCCACACUGGAACUGAGACACGGUCCAG
rnacentral:rRNA from 1 species